AUCCAGCUGAUGAGUUCCAAAUAGGACGAAACGUGCGUCUUGGAU
rnacentral:hammerhead_ribozyme from 1 species